rnacentral:rRNA from 1 species
GACGAACGCUUGCGGCGUGCUUAACACAUGCAAGUCGAACGGAAAGGCCCUGCUUUUGUGGGGUGCUCGAGUGGCGAACGGGUGAGUAACACGUGAGUAACCUACCCUUGACUUUGGGAUAACUUCAGGAAACUGGGGCUAAUACCGGAUAGGAGCUCCUGCUGCAUGGUGGGGGUUGGAAAGUUUCGGCGGUUGGGGAUGGACUCGCGGCUUAUCAGCUUGUUGGUGGGGUAGUGGCUUACCAAGGCUUUGACGGGUAGCCGGCCUGAGAGGGUGACCGGCCACAUUGGGACUGAGAUACGGCCCAGACUCCUACGGGAGGCAGCAGUGGGGAAUAUUGCACAAUGGGCGGAAGCCUGAUGCAGCAACGCCGCGUGCGGGAUGACGGCCUUCGGGUUGUAAACCGCUUUCGCCUGUGACGAAGCGUGAGUGACGGUAAUGGGUAAAGAAGCACCGGCUAACUACGUGCCAGCAGCCGCGGUGAUACGUGGGGUGCGAGCGUUGUCCGGAUUUAUUGGGCGUAAAGGGCUCGUAGGUGGUUGAUCGCGUCGGAAGUGUAAUCUUGGGGCUUAACCCUGAGCGUGCUUUCGAUACGGGUUGACUUGAGGAAGGUAGGGGAGAAUGGAAUUCCUGGUGGAGCGGUGGAAUGCGCAGAUAUCAGGAGGAACACCAGUGGCGAAGGCGGUUCUCUGGGCCUUUCCUGGCGCUGAGGAGCGAAAGCGUGGGGAGCGAACAGGCUUAGAUACCCUGGUAGUCCACGCUGUAAACGGUGGGUACUAGGUGUGGGGUCCAUUCCACGGGUUCCGUGCCGUAGCUAACGCUUUAAGUACCCCGCCUGGGGAGUACGGCCGCAAGGCUAAAACUCAAAGGAAUUGACGGGGCCCCGCACAAGCGGCGGAGCAUGCGGAUUAAUUCGAUGCAACGCGUAGAACCUUACCUGGGUUUGACAUGGAUCGGGAGUGCUCAGAGAUGGGUGUGCCUCUUUUGGGGUCGGUUCACAGGUGGUGCAUGGCUGUCGUCAGCUCGUGUCGUGAGAUGUUGGGUUAAGUCCCGCAACGAGCGCAACCCUUGUUCACUGUUGCCAGCACGUUAUGGUGGGGACUCAGUGGAGACCGCCGGGGUCAACUCGGAGGAAGGUGGGGAUGACGUCAAGUCAUCAUGCCCCUUAUGUCCAGGGCUUCACGCAUGCUACAAUGGCUGGUACAGAGAGUGGCGAGCCUGUGAGGGUGAGCGAAUCUCGGAAAGCCGGUCUCAGUUCGGAUUGGGGUCUGCAACUCGACCUCAUGAAGUCGGAGUCGCUAGUAAUCGCAGAUCAGCAACGCUGCGGUGAAUACGUUCCCGGG